AUGCAGAGAGCAGCAAGCGAACCUCGUCGAGGACCGCCAACUCCAGUUCGUCUGCGCUCAAUCGAUGACAUUUAUGAAGCCACGAAUCCACCAGCAACCAGGGGAAGAGGACGCAACAGAGGUCAGGUUGCGAGUAGAAGAAGUUCAUCUGCAAGUUUAAGAGAAGAAAUUGCAGAGCUCUGUUUUCUAGGUGCAGAGGAACCUGUAUCAUUUGAAGAAGCAAACCAGGAAGAAACUUGGAGGAAAGCAAUGACAGAGGAGAUGGACUCGAUCAUUGAUAACAAAACUUGGUCAUUAACCAAUCUUCCUGAAGGACACCGAGCUAUAGGUCUGAAGUGGGUAUUUAAAGAAAAGAAAAAUUCAGAGGGAUCAGUGAUCAAGAACAAGGCUCGCCUGGUCGCGAAAGGAUUUGUACAGCAGCAAGGAGUGGACUUUGAUGAGGUUUUUGCCCCAGUUGCGAGGAUGGAGUCUGUCCGGCUGCUAAUUGCAAUUGCAGCUCAGAAAGCGUGGAUGCUACAUCAUAUGGAUGUCAAGUCGGCAUUUUUGAAUGGUGUGUUAGAGGAGGAAGUUUAUGUAAAACAACCUCCAGGUUUCAUCAAGGUGGGUAGUGAAGAAAAGGUGUUGAGACUCCACAAAGCUCUAUAUGGUUUACAUCAAGCUCCGAGAGCAUGGAACAUUAAAUUAAAUGACACGCUGAUAUCUCUCGGAUUUGAGAGGAGUCCGUUUGAGCAUGCUAUGUACAAAAGGGGGGAAGAAAAAUCUCGCGUAAUAGUUGGAGUAUACGUGGAUGACCUACUGAUAACAGGAGAGGAUGAGCAAGAAUUGGCAAGGUUCAAACAGCAGAUGAAGGACUUAUUUAAGAUGUCCGACCUAGGUUUAUUGAGCUACUAUCUAGGCAUAGAAGUGCAUCAAAAAUCAAGGAGUAUAACGCUAUGUCAGGAGGCAUACGCGAGAAAGAUCCUAGAGAUCAGUGGCAUGACAGAUUGCAAUUCUGCUCAAACUCCUAUGGAAGUUCGUCUCAAGCUGAGUAAGAGAAGUGAAGCUCCUGAAGUUGACUCAACAAAGUACCGUAGUAUUGUGGGAAGUUUACGGUACCUCGUACAUACAAGGCCUGAUUUGGCAUUGUGA
rnacentral:rRNA from 1 species